GAAUUAUGGCUCUUUGCCACCUCUGAGUAUCUGCUCUGAGCGCUUUGGUCUUUAAUUGUGUGUAGAUUUUCUGUAGGAGCCUGUUUGCUGCAGAGACCUGCCGUGAGACACCACCCUGCAGGACUCUUCCCAGAUCACCCCGGCCUUUCCACCUGCGGAGCUGAGAUGGCUCCUCCCUUGAUUGAAAGGCAUUUUCAAAAGGACCCACCAAGGGAUCUGCCUCUUUCCUCCCCUUUCAGCUCAUCCCAGCUCCUCGUGGCAUCACUUUCCAGACAGAGCUGGGCUGGACUCCGGGGUACUCUGAAGAGGCAGAGUUACCAAGUUAUUGAUGCUGCCAACAGAAACUGGCUGUUUCUAGUCUCCAUGGCCUUGUCUUCCAGCAAUGCUGCUGCCUGAGGAGCCAGCCCCAUCCUGACCCACCUGGUCCUGGACCCUUCCCAGCCUGGGCACAGUGCAGAGCUGCAAGGUGGGUGUGUGAAAAGAACCUGGCAGAAUGAAAUACUGCUCACACCAGCGUGGGUACAACCACAAAACCUGUCCCGGGUGAAGCCAGGCAGUUAUCCACAGCUCUGGGUUAUGCUGUCAUCCCGGAUCAAGACAAAUUAGUGUGCACGGAGGCAAUCAGAAGUAAUUACUCUUUAAGAAACAAUAGGCGUCACUCUGUGGCUUCUGUCUGACAGCUGAAGAACCUGGCUCCCUGUGAAAAACCCACACAGCUUAAUCUCCUCCUGUCACAUCCUCUUUCCCUGUCCUCCCUGGGUAAAUGUUUGUGCUGCCGCGGCGAGAGGCACCGGGGCAGCGGGACAACGGGGCCCUGGGUCCAGGGACAGCAGCGGCACCCGGUGCCCUCAGCCGUCCCUCAAGGGGAGCAAAGGGGGUCUGCAGGUACAGAACAGCACCUCCGCCGGGGCUCGGGUGGUCCCUUCCUGGAGUAAAUCCUGCUUCCAUGAAGUCAGCUCCUGAGGCUGCAGCACAACAGCUAUAGAUAGGAAAUGAAAUGAUGGGAAGCGAGCACAGGGACCUGGCUGUUCUUCUGCUCCUCAGGGGAGACACUCAAUGGCAUUCCAACUGAUUCAUCUUAGGAGUGUAAAUAUACCUGCUGGAGCCUGCUUUUGCCACCCCUGUUGUCAUUUUUAGGUGUUGUCUUAAAGACUAAACCCUUCCUAAAGGCUCCAGUGGCACCUUUGAAAUCUUAUAGAAUCUGAAGUCAGCGUGUGUCAGUCGUUGGCUGUUUUACCUUCUCCAGGAGGAGCUGCAGGAUGUGUCUGAGUGAAGAUGAAGCCACAGAGUGGCAGACUGAGUCAUCCUAGGAAAUACCUGUAUCUUUGUGCAGUGGAAGCAAACAGGGUGUUUAUUAGCCUUUAUUACUAGUAUUAAUUAAGCAUUCUACCAAGGG
rnacentral:lncRNA from 1 species